rnacentral:rRNA from 1 species
UUCCUACGGGGGGCAGCAGUCGGGAAUAUUGCGCAAUGGAGGAAACUCUGACGCAGUGACGCCGCGUAUAGGAAGAAGGUUUUCGGAUUGUAAACUAUUGUCCACAGGGAAGAUAAAAGACUGUACCUGUGAAGAAAGCUCCGGCUAACUACGUGCCAGCAGCCGCGGUAAUACGUAGGGAGCAAGCGUUAUCCGGAAUUAUUGGGCGUAAAGCGAGUGCAGGCGGUUCAAUAAGUCUGAU